rnacentral:rRNA from 1 species
CCGCAUGGUGGGUGUUGGAAAGAUUUAUCGGUUUUGGAUGGACUCGCGGCCUAUCAGCUUGUUGGUGAGGUAAUGGCUCACCAAGGCGACGACGGGUAGCCGGCCUGAGAGGGUGACCGGCCACACUGGGACUGAGACACGGCCCAGACUCCUACGGGAGGCAGCAGUGGGGAAUAUUGCACAAUGGGCGCAAGCCUGAUGCAGCGACGCCGCGUGAGGGAUGACGGCCUUCGGGUUGUAAACCUCUUUCAGUAGGGAAGAAGCGAAAGUGACGGUACCUGCAGAAGAAGCACCGGCUAACUACGUGCCAGCAGCCGCGGUAAUACGUAGGGUGCGAGCGUUAUCCGGAAUUAUUGGGCGUAAAGAGCUCGUAGGCGGUUUGUCGCGUCUGUCGUGAAAGUCCGGGGCUUAACCCCGGAUCUGCGGUGGGUACGGGCAGACUAGAGUGCAGUAGGGGAGACUGGAAUUCCUGGUGUAGCGGUGGAAUGCGCAGAUAUCAGGAGGAACACCGAUGGCGAAGGCAGGUCUCUGGGCUGUAACUGACGCUGAGGAGCGAAAGCAUGGGGAGCGAACAGGAUUAGAUACCCUGGUAGUCCAUGCCGUAAACGUUGGGCACUAGGUGUGGGGACCAUUCCACGGUUUCCGCGCCGCAGCUAACGCAUUAAGUGCCCC